UAACUAAAAGGGAAAAGUUGUAUCGCUAUAUGUUCUAUUCUAUCAUAAGCGUAUAGCUUUUCCCCUUGGUUU
rfam:Papilio xuthus contig17503, whole genome shotgun sequence.